rnacentral:rRNA from 1 species
UACGAAGGGGGCUAGCGUUGUUCGGAAUUACUGGGCGUAAAGCGUGCGUAGACGGUUACAUAAGUCGGGUGUGAAAGCCCCGGGCUCAACCUGGGAAUUGCAUUCGAGACUGCGUAGCUAGGGUGCGGAAGAGGGAAGCGGAAUUUCCGGUGUAGCGGUGAAAUGCGUAGAUAUCGGAAGGAACACCAGUGGCGAAAGCGGCUUCCUGGUCCAGCACCGACGUUCAGGCACGAAAGCGUGGGGAGCAAACAGG